GACGAACGCUGGCGGCGUGCUUAACACAUGCAAGUCGAACGGAAAGGCCCUGCUUUUGUGGGGUGCUCGAGUGGCGAACGGGUGAGUAACACGUGAGUAACCUGCCCUUGACUUUGGGGUAACUUCAGGAAACUUGGGCUAAUACCGGAUAGGAGCUCCUGCUGCAUGGUGGGGGUUGGAAAGUUUCGGCGGUUGGGGAUGGACUCGCGGCUUAUCAGCUUGUUGGUGGGGUAGUGGCUUACCAAGGCUUUGACGGGUAGCCGGCCUGAGAGGGUGACCGGCCACAUUGGGACUGAGAUACGGCCCAGACUCCUACGGGAGGCAGCAGUGGGGAAUAUUGCACAAUGGGCGGAAGCCUGAUGCAGCAACGCCGCGUGCGGGAUGACGGCCUUCGGGUUGUAAACCGCUUUCGCCUGUGACGAAACGUGAGUGACGGUAAUGGGUAAAGAAGCACCGGCUAACUACGUG
rnacentral:rRNA from 1 species